GAGUUUGAUCCUGGCUCAGAACGAACGCUGGCGACGUGCUUAACACAUGCAAGUCGAACGUGAUCCGGAGCUUGCUCCGGUGAAAGUGGCGCACGGGUGAGUAACGCGUGGAUAAUCUGCCCUGGUAUCUGGGAUAACAUCUCGAAAGGGGUGCUAAUACCGGAUAAGCCCACGGGAUCCUCGGAUUCUGCGGGAAAAGGUGGCCUCUAUUUAUAAGCUACCGUAUCAGGAUGAGUCCGCGUACCAUUAGCUAGUUGGUGGGGUAAUGGCCCACCAAGGCUACGAUGGUUAGCUGGUUUGAGAGGAUGGUCAGCCACACUGGGAUUGAGAUACGGCCCAGACUCCUWCGGGAGGCAGCAGCAAGGAAUAUUGUGCAAUGGGCGAAAGCCUGACACAGCGACGCCGCGUGGAGGAUGAAGGCUCUCGGGUUGUAAAGCUCUGUCGAGGGGAAAGAAGUGUACUUUGGCUAAUAUCCAUUGUACUUGACGGUACCCCUAAAGGAAGCACCGGCUAACUCCGUGCCAGCAGCCGCGGGUAAUAC
rnacentral:rRNA from 1 species